AAAAGGAAAAAAAAAGAAAGGAUUUGGUUUGUGGGUUUAUAUAAGAGGAAAAACCCAGAAAGCAACAGAGGGUUAAAAUGAGAGAAAAAGUGAGUCUCUCAUGAAACCCGCAUCUCGUAGAGAUCUAGUGGAGAAAACGUUGAAAGUGUCGCUGGAUAAACAAAUAGAGAAGUUAUUGUUUAAGAGAGAGAUAUAGAGAGAAAGGUUUGUCGUUUUGGGAUGAGAGAGAGGGAGAGAGAGAAUGAGCUGGCCAAGAGUUAAACAAAGGUCGCGGGGUGCGAGAGUAAGAGAAGAGG
rnacentral:misc_RNA from 1 species